rnacentral:rRNA from 1 species
GUCCAUACUGUAAAUUCUGAGUGCUGUAAUUUAAUGUAAGUUGUAGACUUAUUUAGAUUUUUAAGCUAACGCCAUAAGCACUCCGCCUGAGGAGUACGAUCGCAAGGUUGGAACUCAAAGGAAUUGACGGGGGCUAGUACUAGUGGUGGAGCAUGUGGUUUAAUGCGAUAAUCCGCGCAGAACCUUACCAAUCCUUGACAUGAUAAAAUGAUUGUAUUUUUACAGUUUAGUAAUGAUUUACAAUUAUUUUUUUACAGGUGUUGCACGGCUGUCGU